rnacentral:rRNA from 1 species
UGCAGUCGAGCGAGAAGUUUGAAAAAUGAGUUUUCGAACAAGUGAUUCAAACGGAAAGCGGCGGACGGGUGAGUAACGCGUAGGCAACCUGCCCCGUGCAGAGGGACAGCCUCGGGAAACCGGGAUUAAGACCUCAUGAUAUCGGGUUAUCACAUGGUAAUCCGGUCAAAGAUUUAUCGGCAUGGGAUGGGCCUGCGUCUGAUUAGCUGGUUGGUGGGGUAACGGCCUACCAAGGCGACGAUCAGUAGCAGAACUGAGAGGUUCAUCUGCCACAUUGGAACUGAGACACGGUCCAAACUCCUACGGGAGGCAGCAGUGAGGAAUAUUGCACAAUGGGCGAAAGCCUGAUGCAGCAACGCCGCGUGAGCGAAGAAGGCCUUUGGGUCGUAAAGCUCUGUCCUUGGGGAAGAAACAAAUGACGGUACCCUUGGAGGAAGCCCCGGCUAACUACGUGCCAGCAGCCGCGGUAAUACGUAGGGGGCGAGCGUUAUCCGGAAUUAUUGGGCGUAAAGAGUGCGUAGGUGGUCUUGUAAGCGUGGGGUGAAAGGCAGUGGCUUAACCAUUGUUAGCCUUGCGAACUGUGAGACUUGAGUGCAGGAGAGGAAAGCGGAAUUCCUAGUGUAGCGGUGAAAUGCGUAGAUAUUAGGAGGAACACCAGUGGCGAAGGCGGCUUUCUGGACUGUAACUGACACUGAGGCACGAAAGCGUGGGGAGCAAACAGGAUUAGAUACCCUGGUAGUCCACGCCGUAAACGAUGAGCACUAGGUGUCGGGGUUUAAAGA